UCUCAGACUAAACAUUCGUUUAUUUGCUUUCCUUACAAUGUUCUUAACAUGACAGUUCCAUUUCAAAUUGUUUUGAUGCCAGACACCCAACAGUUUAUGAGAAUUUACUCUUUCCACUACCUCGUUUCCAAUGACCAAUGGUUCUGGUACCGGUAUUGCUGUGUUAAAACAUAUCCACAUAUCUUUUGUUUUCUUCGAAUUUAUCGUCAUUUUGUUCCUAUUAGACCAUUCUUGUACUGCUUCAAGGGCCUCCUGCAUAUGGCUGGAUGAACCUUGUGAGACAAACUUGAUGAAUGCGAGUUGUAUUUUCGGCUUUGUUGCGAAGACAAAGAAAGUCAUCAACUUCAAAACUCACUUCAAUUCUUUCAAAAUCCCUUCGUGUUUUUUACUCGUUAGAGUGGUUCACAGAUCAACAUCACUGAGACAAGCGCUAGCUCCAAGCAGGAGAGAGAACAUCAGAAACUGCACCCGACUUAAUUGGGCCACAGCCAAGCCCAAUUUAUGUUUUUGGGAAAAUGUUGUUUACAAAAUCACAUGCGACCAGUGCCAAAUGACAACUACAUAUGGAGCACCAUACGAAAUCUACACGACCGAGUCGGAAAACACCUGACACAAACCACCUCGUCUCUCUUUAACCACCUAAAGUUUUUUAUAUAAUAUCAUAGUUAAGGGGCCAUUCACAAAGGAUGUCCGGCCAAAUGAUGGAUUUUCAGACCCCCCCUCCCCCCCUUGUCCGGCAUUGUCCGAAUUAGUGACCCCACCCCCUUCCCCCCGGACAUCCGCCAUGCCUCGCAAAAACUCACGCAACCUUGUAUAUAUCAAGAGUAAAAAACUUUUUUUACUUUUAGAACUUUUUUAUAACUGUAAAUGUG